AUGGGAAAUAAGUUAUCCAAGGAGGCAGCCUUCAUCAAAGAUUUAAAGCUAGCUCUCAGGGAAAGAGGAGUACGAGUAAAAAAGAAAGAUUUGAUAUACUUUUUUAUUUUCAUAGACCAGGUAUGUCCGUGGUUUAUUAUAGAUGGAGCAGAGAUACAUCCUAAGAAAUGGAGAAAAGUAGGUAGAGAGUUAAAUGACAUUUUAGCAAAGCAGGGCCCCGAGGCGGUCCCUGCAAAUGUAUUUACUUAUUGGAGUUUGAUCCGUGAUUUGGUAGAAAAUACAGUUGAUGAUCCAGAGAAACAGCAACUUUUGUCAGUGGCAGAAUAUUGCCUCUGUCCAUUGUCUCGGGAAGCUAUGGAGGGCUCCCUCCCUACUACUAAUCCUCCAAAAGCUACAGAUGGGCCUAAAAUUCCAGAGGCUACACUUUAUCCGCAGGUCUCAGUAGGCGCUUUGCCUGAGCAGCCUACACAGCCUGCAACCCCACCCCCCUGCCAACCUGCCACUAAUCAAUCUAGUCUUUAAAAAAUCUUUGGCAGAGGGACCUUUAAUAUCUGGGGAUUCAGAAGCUAUAGAGGAAGAGGUAGUCUGGCCCAUAAACCGGAGCAGCUUCGUGGCGCCUCAGCUCCUCCUCUUAAUACCCCUCCCUACUUGCCACCAGUCUGUGCUCCUGCACCAUGGCCUUAGGCUCUACCAGUUCCCACUCUCAUUGAUGCUAAAGACAAGCUCGCGUCUCAAGUGGCAGGAUUACAAGAAGUAUUAGCAUUACAGCAACAGUACACUUGCCUGUCCACAGAGCUCACGUCACUCCAAAAUUCUUUAAAAGAGACUAUUCUUGCCCCUCCCUCGCCUGCAGCCUUGGGCAGCUUAAAAAAAAAAGGCUUCGUGAGCAGUAAAAUACAAAACAUUGGCUUUUCCUGUAAUCACCCUCUCUAUGGGAGAUGCUAGCUGUGACCCGCCCACUUCUACGGGAGAGGAACAGCCCUCAAUGAUCCGUGCCAGAUUUACUUCUGUAAAAAUAGGGCCUUUGGAAACGCCACAGGCCGAUCUUUUAGACACUAACAGCGAGAACAGAACAGAUUCUGAGAGUGAUAAUGAAAUAGAGCAUGAGCCAGAAGAGCGAUUGGCAGUUCGUAUUAGGCAGACAGAGUUUCGUAAAUUACGUUUGAAGGAUUUAAAAGAGCUUAACUCUGUGGUUAGGACCAAUGGUCCAUCUGCCCCUUAUAUGCUUUCGUGCCUAGAAGCCCUCCCAGGAGGCAGACAAAUGCUCCUUAGUGAAUGGAUCAGAGUGAUUCAGACAGUGUUAACUCGCGUACAGUUCCUUUCUUGGAAGGCUGAUUUUCUCGAUCGUUGCCAGACAAUUGCUAUAACUAAUCAAAGGAACCCUCAAACGCCAUCUGCUGGCUGGACCUUUGAAAAGCUUUCUGGUCAAGGAAAAUACGCAGCAGAGGCCAGACAAAAAACGUUUUCCAACAGGUCUGUUGGCUCAAACUGCUAAUGCAGCUUUGAGAGCUUGGCAUGCCAUUCCUAUGAAAGGCUCCGUUAUUACCCCUUUAACUAAAAUUAUUCAAGGAGUACAAGAGGACUAUAGUGAAUUUGUAAGUCGUUUGCUUGAGGCUACAGAGAGGACCUUAGGUCAUGAGGAUGCAGACAAUAAACUCAUAAAACAAUUGGCUUUUGAGAAUGCUAAUUCGGCUUGUAAGGCAGUCUUGCAUGGUAAGAUCAGAGACAAGGACCUUAAUGAGAUGAUUCAUCUUUGUCAUUAUGUUAAUAUGUUUACUCACAACAUGUCCCAAAGAGUUAAUCUUGCAAUGGAUGCAGCUCUUAGGCCUGUUAUGGCAAUAGGUGCGGCUCUUCAGCUAGCUGGACCCCAGAAAAGUUGUUUUAACUAUGGCCAGCCUGGACACUUUGCAGGACAGUGUCCCACUGCGCCCUCCCCUAACAGUUCUUCAGCACAACCUACUAACCAUUCUUUCCGGCCUAUACGGCCCAAUUUUCUUUGCUCAUGGUGUAAGAGAGGCAAACAUUGGGUAAACACUUGCAGAGCUCAGACAAAUGUGUUUGGAAAUCUCCUGCCUCCUAUUCAGGGAAACGAGUAUGGGGGACAGCCCCGAGUCCCCAAAACCAUCUCAUUUCUCCCGGCCACGGAGCACAGAUGGCAGACAAAUCAAACUCUGCUCUCUCCAGAGCCACCACAGGCAGCACAGGCCUGGACUUGUAUUCCUCUGCCAGCGCAAUUUUAA
rnacentral:lncRNA from 1 species